UCUAAUAGGUUCUGAACCACGGUGUGGUGAC
rnacentral:piRNA from 1 species